ensembl:lncRNA
CUGAUCAGAGCAGAAGUUGGGGUCAGACCCAGGGUCGGCCAUAGUUCAGGGGGUUUCUCCGUCAAAUAAUCAACCAUCACGCUACUUUCUCUCGCCCCUUUCUUCAUCACCGUAUCAAUGAGACAACGUGCUUUGUCUUCACUUGUUAUCCACCCCUCUACAGUCUCCUUCUCCUCGUCAUUCAACACAUUCAUCUCCCUAAGGUAACGCAGGAGAUUGAUGACAUCGUGGUCCGACAACGUGUAGACUAAUUUAGAGCCAAUCCUUCCAAGUUCUGAAAUACAAAUCAAGAGAAAAGGCAAAUUAAACAAAUUUAAGUUUCUUCUCAACCAAAUUAUCUCUGCAUUGACAAUUUCUGGGAUAAAAAUUGAUAAAGUCUUUAAAAUAUACACUCAAAAUCACAACUCG